rnacentral:rRNA from 1 species
CAGUCGCCACGGGAAUACGUAGGGUCCGAGCGUUGUCCGGAAUUAUUGGGCGUAAAGGGCUCGUAGGCGGUUUGUUGCGUCGGGAGUGAAAACCUACAGCUUAACUGUGGGCUUGCUUUCGAUACGGGCAGACUUGAGGCAUUCAGGGGAGAACGGAAUUCCUGGUGUAGCGGUGAAAUGCGCAGAUAUCAGGAGGAACACCGGUGGCGAAGGCGGUUCUCUGGGAAUGUUCUGACGCUGAGGAGCGAAAGUGUGGGGAGCGAACAGGAUUAGAUACCCGCGUAGUCCCUGUCUCUUAUAC